GGAAUCUGGCCUUAUGGAGGGGGAUAACUACGGCGAAACUGUAGCUAAUACCGCGUAAUAUCUUCGGAUUAAAGGGUGGGACUUUCGGGCCACCUGCCAUAAGAUGAGCCCAAGUGGGAUUAGGUAGUUGGUGGGGUAAAGGCCUACCAAGCCGACGAUCUCUAGCUGGUCUGAGAGGAUGACCAGCCACACUGGAACUGAUACACGGUCCAGACUCCUACGGGAGGCAGCAGUGGGGAAUAUUGCACAAUGGGGGGAACCCUGAUGCAGCCAUGCCGCGUGAAUGAAGAAGGCCUUCGGGUUGUAAAGUUCUUUCGGCGAUGAGGAACGUGUUUGUUUUUAAUAGAGCAAGCAAUUGACGUUAGUCAC
rnacentral:rRNA from 1 species